UCCGUAGGUGAACCUGCGGAAGGAUCAUUAGUGAAUCUAGGACGUCCAACUUAACUUGGAGUCCGAACUCUCACUUUCUAACCCUGUGCAUCUGUUAAUUGGAAUAGUAGCUCUUCGGAGUGAACCACCAUUCACUUAUAAAACACAAAGUCUAUGAAUGUAUACAAAUUUAUAACAAAACAAAACUUUCAACAACGGAUCUCUUGGCUCUCGCAUCGAUGAAGAACGCAGCGAAAUGCGAUACGUAAUGUGAAUUGCAGAAUUCAGUGAAUCAUCGAAUCUUUGAACGCACCUUGCGCUCCUUGGUAUUCCGAGGAGCAUGCCUGUUUGAGUGUCAUGAAAACCCUCAACCCUAGAUUGGUUAAAACCUUUCUUUGGUUUGGAUUUGGACGUUUGCCGAUGAUAAGUCGGCUCGUCUUAAAAGUAAUAGCUGGAUCUGUCUCGCGACAUGGUUUGACUUGGCGUAAUAAGUAUUUCGCUAAGGACAUCUUCGGAUGGCCGCGUUGCAGGACUAAAGACCGCUUUCUAAUCCAUUGAUCUUCGGAUUAAUACUCUUGACAUCUGGCCUCAAAUCAGGUAGGACUACCCGCUGAACUUAAGCAUAUCAAUAAGCGGAGGAA
rnacentral:rRNA from 1 species